UACGGAGGGUGCAAGCGUUAUCCGGAUUCACUGGGUUUAAAGGGUGCGUAGGCGGGUUGGGAAGUCCGUGGUGAAAUCUCCGAGCUUAACUCGGAAACUGCCGUGGAUACUAUCAAUCUUGAAUAUCGUGGAGGUAAGCGGAAUAUGUCAUGUAGCGGUGAAAUGCUUAGAUAUGACAUAGAACACCAAUUGCGUAGGCAGCUUACUACACGAUCAUUGACGCUGAGGCACGAAAGCGUGGGGAGCAAACAGG
rnacentral:rRNA from 1 species